GCCUGACUAGCUCAGCCGGUAGAGCAUGAGACUUUUAAUCUCAGGGUCAUGGGUUCGAGUACCAUGUUAGGCA
rnacentral:tRNA from 1 species